rnacentral:rRNA from 1 species
GACGAACGCUGGCGGCGUGCUUAACACAUGCAAGUCGAACGGAAAGGCCCUGCUUUUGUGGGGUGCUCGAGUGGCGAACGGGUGAGUAACACGUGAGUAACCUGCCCUUGACUUUGGGAUAACUUCAGGAAACUGGGGCUAAUACCGGAUAGGAGCUCCUGCUGCAUGGUGGGGGUUGGAAAGUUUCGGCGGUUGGGGAUGGACUCGCGGCUUAUCAGCUUGUUGGUGGGGUAGUGGCUUACCAAGGCUUUGACGGGUAGCCGGCCUGAGAGGGUGACCGGCCACAUUGGGACUGAGAUACGGCCCAGACUCCUACGGGAGGCAGCAGUGGGGAAUAUUGCACAAUGGGCGGAAGCCUAAUGCAGCAACGCCGCGUGCGGGAUGUCGGCCUUCGGGUCGUAAACCGCUUUCGCCUGUGACGAAGCGUGAGUGACGGUAAUGGGUAAAGAAGCACCGGCUAACUACGUG